rnacentral:pre_miRNA from 1 species
UAGCAGCACGUAAAUAUUGGUGUGUGACAAUAGACCCCAACCCCAAUAUUAGCAGUGCUGCUUCA